UGUUGCGGUUAAAAAGCUCGUAGUUGGAUUUCUGUUGAGGAUGACCGGUCCGCUCUUUGAGCGCGUAUCUGGUUCAGCCUUGGCAUCCUCUUGGGGAACGCUACUGUGCUUGAUUGCAUGGGGCGGUAUUCAAGACUUUUACUUUGAGGAAAUUAGAGUGUUCACUGCAAGCAUUAGCAAUUGAAUACAUUAGCAUGGAAUAAUAAUAUAGGACCUUGGUACUAUUUUGUUGGUUUCUAGAACUAAGGUAAUGAUUAAUAGGGACAAUUGGGGGCAUUCGUAUUAACGCGUCAGAGGUGGAAUUCUUAGAUUGCGUUACGACGAACUACUGCGAAAGCAUUUGCCAAGGAUGUUUUCAUUGAUCAAGAACGAAAGUAUGGGGAUCGAAGACGCUUAGAUACCGUCGUAGUCUAUACCAUAAACUA
rnacentral:rRNA from 1 species